UCUUAAUUCCUAAUUCCAUUUUCAAAUUUCACACGUUCUGUUUGACCUUACUCUUCGCUCUUCUCAAUCCCUAACAAGAAAACGGGAGAGGGUUCACUUCGAACUCCAUUUCUGACCUGAGGGGCCGUAAAAGGAGACGGCGACAGCAGUGCCGGCGAAGGCCAGGACGACGUCAGGAGUCGAACCGUCGCCUGUGGCGGUUUCGUUUUCGAAGCUCUUCGCAUGUGCUGACCGCUUCGAUUGGUUCCUCAUGACCGUCGGCUCCCUUGCUGCCGUGGCUCAUGGCACCGCGCUCAUCAUUUACUUGCACUAUUUCGCGAAGAUCAUCCACGUGCUGCGAAUGGAUCUUAAACUCGGCAUGUCACACGAGCAGUUUAACAGGUUCACCGAGUUGGAAACUUUAUCUAUCAAAUUUACUGACCAAAGAGGUCGGAGAGGGGAUUAAGAGAGCUGGAAGGGUAAAGAGGAUUGGGGGAAUUCUGUGAGAUCUGACAAGUAGGAACUACCGUGGGAGCUGGAGAAAAACCUUUGAAGUCAAGGUUUCUUACUGGAAUCGAGGUAUGGGAGCUAAACAAAUUUCUUUAUUUAGUGUAGAACUUGUAUGAGAGUGUAAUUGUUUGACUUAUAAUUCUGUUUUAUCUCAUGAAAUUAGUUGAAAUACACAACUUGAUUUUGAAAUGAAUGAAGUAGGAUGAUGAAUAACUGAACCGUAUAACUCUUAAAUGCCUUGUAAAUCUGAGUUUAGAAAGAAAGAAGAGCUUGGGAUGGCAAUACCUUCUAUGACCACACGCUUUCUCCAAAACUCUUUGAUGAUUCGUGUGUAAUUGGUAGAGCUCUCUGUUUACUCCCUUAGUAGGUUAGUAUGAGACUGAAUUUCCUUGCAAGUGUUCCAUUAGGGCGUGUGAUAUUCCGUUGAAGGGUCAUACACUCAUUUUGUUUCUUGGAUGACUAGUUGUUUACCUGGUACACUUUAUUUUAUUCCUUUGCCCAUGUUGUACUAAAGCUGAUCUACCAUGUUAUGCUGUUUUAUAUGGUUAAAUUCUUUUAUAUCUAUUUACUACUCUGCUGCAUCAUAUUCUUUUGUUUCGCCAUCUUAUUUAAAAUUUACGGACACAUCAUAUACUUGAGAUGACCAUAUAUAGUUACUUCCUUUAAAUUAUAAUAAGAGAAUAAACCAUGGCUCAUGAUGACUGCACGCAAGUUAUAAAACUUUAGGUGUCUUGAUAGAGUACUAUUCUCUUCUUUCUAGAUGUUACAGCUUUAGUCAUUUCUACUGCCAUAAACUUUAUCUUUUAGUGUACAUGUUUGUCCAUCACUAUUCACGGCAUUAGUUUGGCUAAUAUAUGGGCCACCGAACAGUUAUUCCUGCAUAACUUGAAUUGGUGUUUUUGUUUCAUUCAAGUGUAAGAUUAUCCUUUUGGUUUAAUAAAGGUAAGGUAUGAAAAUUAUGGUCAUAUUAUAAGUUGAAAACAAUUUGUCACCAUGGAUAGUUUUGUUCACUGAAUUUUACUCAAAUCUAAUGUGUAGUUGAUGGUUAUUAAAGCUAAUAUGAUACAGUUAAUUUCAAGAAGAUAUUACCAAUCUUUGACAGCCUAGAGUGACUCUGUUCUCUUAAAUUCUUCUCCUCUUAGUGCUAAAUUUUUAUUCUGUUAUUCCUUGAUGAGAAAGGUCUAGCCAUGUGACAAUGUACAGUAUGAAAGCCCUCCACUACUGAAAAUUGAAUAAGAAAUCAGCUUGUAAAGCCUCAUAAGCUAAAAGUAUUGAAAUAGAAUUAAAAUCUCUAUGAAUGACCUUUCAAAUCUGGUUUAUAAAAUCUGUCUUUAGAGUUUCUGUCUAGAUAUGUUUGGUUGAUGGCUUGAGUUUAUCUCUUGGCCUAGCUUAUAUUUAUUAUACAUGAAAGGAGUGUAACCGUGGGCCAUGCUCCCUCUUCAAAUAUUUUAACGCCUAGUAUGGUGCAUCCAUUUUCUUUUCUGAUUUAAAAUCCUGAAAUCUGAUUAUAUUUCUAUGAAUGAAUCAUGAAAAUACGUAUAUGGGGUAGAGCUAGACUUUUGUAAGUUUUCUUUAAAGUAAAAGAUUGCUACGUGAAAUGGUUUGUUUUUGGAUGAUAAAUAAAUUAAGAUUGUGGUGGUAGGGUCGUUAAUGCAUGGAUCACUUUUAAGUGGUGCAGAUUAUUUUUAUAUUAAAAGCAUUCAUCACUUUUAUAAAUAAACGAUGCAUAGUUUACUGAAAUUGAAAGUCAUCUUAUAAUAGGAUAUUUUGGUUUUCUUUGCAAGAAAUGAAACGCAAAUUUAAAGAGAAAUAAUUAAUGUUAAAAGAAAAAUGCUAAAUGCCUACGAGUGAAUCAUCUGUUAGGAGUAAAGAAUUGGAACUGUUAUAUAUAUUGAGUGAUGGACAUUUACACAACUAAGUGCCUGAACCAAAAAUAAAUGUUAAGAACUAAAAUAAGGGUCUUUAUUUAGUAUUAUAAGGAUAAGAAUAUUCAGGUUUGAAUUAGGAUUUCAUUUUACUUUAUGUUAUUUUAUUUUCUAUUUAAGGUAAAAUUAGAAAUUCUUUUUAUUAUUAUUAUUAUUAUGUGUUAGUAUAAGGGUGGUUGUUUUAUAGUUGAGCGUGUGACUAGUAUUAUGUGUUAGUCUUUGAACCACAAUGCUGUCUAUACUCUAAGAAUCCUGUCUAUACUAAGAAUUGGUGAUGUUUCCCUUCUCACAGGACACUAAGAAUCCUGUCUAUACUCUCAACAUACCAAAAAUCGUCCCCCAUAACAACAAAAACCUCCUAACCAACUAACUAUUUGUUUUUUCCUUCUUACCUAGACAUUUAGUUACCUAGAAUGAAAAAUAACUCAUUCCUAAGAACCCAACAAUCAAUUUCACCAAGAAAAAAAAAAUGAACAUAUGUGAAUUUGCAUUUUCAGCAUAUUUCAUUAUGUUUAAGCAUUGAAUUUACAUACUUAGGUAUAUAGGAUCAUGAUUAGAUUUAUACCAUUGCAUCAAACCCAAAAUUGAACAUGAUUGCUGUCACAAGCUAUUUUGGUUCUCUUUGAUGUCAAAUUUGGUUUGGUAAGUGAUUUUCGGAUUUUUGAGUUUUUAGCCCAGUUUUUAGAAGAAAUGAUACUUGCGGCCUCUUUAUAUUUGUUGCCUCUCUGUAUAUGUGUUAAGUAAGUCAUUUAUACCAUUUUACUCAACAAUUGUCAUCUUUUCUGUGUCUUACGUAAAAUAUAUAAUUUGGGAAGCAUCGUUCACCACGAGGCUAUUAAAGAUGUAUGUUGCUGGUGGUUGUAGAUAUUAGAAGUGUAAGUUUUCCUUUCUAUUUUGAUUCUUUUCUAUAUUAUUGUUAUGAUAUGAUGGAUGUCUACCUUUUGUAUAGCUUUUUGAAAGCUCAUUCAAGGUUGCGGGAUGUUUCAUCUGUUUCUAGGAAGAUGAAAAUAAUCACAUCGAAGGAACCAAGUUUCUUUUAUUUUAAGUGUUAGUAGAAACUUGGCUACAAUUCAAUAGUGUAUGUAUAUUAAUGUAAUAUUUGGACUUAAUAUAUAGUUUCAUGUAUAAAUGAUCUAUUAAAUAUUAUUAGGCAAUUUAAUGUUUGAAAUAAUUA